rnacentral:tRNA from 1 species
UCCCUGGUGGUCCAGUGGUUACGACUCCGCGCUUCCACUGCAGGGGCGCAGGUUCAGUCCCUGGCUGGGGAA